rnacentral:tRNA from 1 species
UCCCUGGUGGCUCAGAUGGUAAAGCAUCUGCCUGCAAUGCAAGAGACCUGGGUUCAAUCCCUAGGUUGGGAA